GAGCGCCGUAGCAAUACGGAGCGGCAGACGGGAGAGUAACACGUGGGAACGUGCCCUUCAGUUCGGAACAACCCAGGGAAACUUGGGCUAAUACCGGAUACGUCCGUAAGGAGAAAGAUUUAUCGCUGAAGGAUCGGCCCGCGUCUGAUUAGCUUGUUGGUGAGGUAACGGCUCACCAAGGCGACGAUCAGUAGCUGGUCUGAGAGGAUGAUCAGCCUCACUGGGACUGAGACACGGCCCAGACUCCUACGGGAGGCAGCAGUGGGGAAUAUUGGACAAUGGGCGCAAGCCUGAUCCAGCCAUGCCGCGUGGGUGAUGAAGGCCUUAGGGUUGUAAAGCCCUUUUGGCGGGGAAGAUAAUGACGGUACCCGCAGAAGAAGCCCCGGCUAACUUCGUG
rnacentral:rRNA from 1 species